rnacentral:misc_RNA from 1 species
UGGGAGGAGGUCGUUGUGUGC